UGGUGGAGCGAUUUGUCUGGUUAAUUCCGAUAACGAACGAGACUCUAGCCUAUUAACUAGUUCGCCGGUCGCUGUUCUCACACAGCCGGCGCAACUUCUUAGAGGGACGAGUGGCGUUUAGCUACACGAGAUUGAGCAAUAACA
rnacentral:rRNA from 1 species